GCCUGGAUGGCUCAGUCAGUUAAGCGUCUGACUUUGGCUCGGGUCAUGAUCUCACAGUUCAUGAGUUCGAGUCCCAUGUCAGGCU
rnacentral:tRNA from 1 species